rnacentral:rRNA from 1 species
UACAGGGGGGGCAAGCGUUGUUCGGAAUUACUGGGCGUAAAGGGUUUGUAGGUGGCUUGCUAAGUCAGACGUGAAAUCCCUCAGCUUAACUGGGGAACUGCGUCUGAUACUGGCGAGCUUGAGUGCAGGAGAGGAACGCGGAAUUCCUGGUGUAGCGGUGAAAUGACGCAGAUAUCAGGAGGAACACCGGUGGCGAAGGCGGGUCUCUGGGCCGAUACUGACGCUGAGGAGCGAAAGCUAGGGGAGCAAACGGG